rnacentral:misc_RNA from 1 species
AAGUCGUAACAAGGUAACCGUAGGUGAACCUGCGGUUGGAUCAUUAGUAAAUUAAUUAAGCGAGGGUUUAAUCACCUAAGUUUAUUUAACCUAUGUGAACUGUUUAUUGUCUCUGGUAGGGCUUAUAGGAUAAUUGUUUCUGGAGGUUUCUCCUUUUAAUUAAGGAAAAUCUUUACCUACUAUUUGUACCCAUGAAACUCAUUUUUUAUUACUUAGUCUUGAAUUAAAUUUUAAUAUUUUAUAUUAAUUUUAAACAACUUUUGACAACGGAUCUCUAGGCUCUC